GUGAACGCUGGCGGUAGGCCUAACACAUGCAAGUCGAACGGCAGCACAGUAAGAGCUUGCUCUUACGGGUGGCGAGUGGCGGACGGGUGAGGAAUACAUCGGAAUCUACUUUUUCGUGGGGGAUAACGUAGGGAAACUUACGCUAAUACCGCAUACGACCUACGGGUGAAAGCAGGGGAUCUUCGGACCUUGCGCGAUUGAAUGAGCCGAUGUCGGAUUAGCUAGUUGGCGGGGUAAAGGCCCACCAAGGCGACGAUCCGUAGCUGGUCUGAGAGGAUGAUCAGCCACACUGGAACUGAGACACGGUCCAGACUCCUACGGGAGGCAGCAGUGGGGAAUAUUGGACAAUGGGCGCAAGCCUGAUCCAGCCAUACCGCGUGGGUGAAGAAGGCCUUCGGGUUGUAAAGCCCUCUUGUUGGGAAAGAAAAGCAGCAGGUUAAUACCCCGCUGUUCUGACGGUACCCAAAGAAUAAGCACCGGCGAACUUCGU
rnacentral:rRNA from 1 species